GUUGGCCCCUGACCGGGGUUGCGGACAGUGUCUGGUGGGUAGUUUGACUGGGGCGGUCUCCUCCCAAAGCGUAACGGAGGAGCACGAAGGUUAGCUAAUCCUGGUCGGACAUCAGGAGGUUAGUGCAAUGGCAUAAGCUAGCUUGACUGCGAGCGUGACGGCGCGAGCAGGUGCGAAAGCAGGUCAUAGUGAUCCGGUGGUUCUGAAUGGAAGGGCCAUCGCUCAACGGAUAAAAGGUACUCCGGGGAUAACAGGCUGAUACCGCCCAAGAGUUCAUAUCGACGGCGGUGUUUGGCACCUCGAUGUCGGCUCAUCACAUCCUGGGGCUGAAGUAGGUCCCAAGGGUAUGGCUGUUCGCCAUUUAAAGUGGUACGCGAGCUGGGUUUAGAACGUCGUGAGACAGUUCGGUCCCUAUCUGCCGUGGGCGCUGGAGAAUUGAGGGGGGCUGCUCCUAGUACGAGAGGACCGGAGUGGACGCAUCACUGGUGUUCGGGUUGUCAUGCCAAUGGCACUGCCCGGUAGCUAAAUGCGGAAGAGAUAAGUGCUGAAAGCAUCUAAGCACGAAACUUGCCCCG
rnacentral:rRNA from 1 species